UCUUGAGUGUAAGCAGUAUAUAUUUUAAAAAAUAAUGUUCUUAAUAUUAUGAUGACAUCUCUCCAAAUACAAAAUUCAUUUCAGCACUCCUGGCCCAGCAACUAUUAAAUUUCCAGUGUGGAACACUUUCAAGUUAGUAACUUCCUGAUCUAGAAAAAUCACAUGGAUAGAAAAUAUGCAGAAGCUGGGAGCCUACCUUCUGUUCCAGUUUUCAAAAAGUGGGAAAAAGUAGAGGCUGCAAAUACAUCCACAAUCUUGGCAAGACUCUAGAGCACGCUGUUGACAACAUACAAGCUCCAAAAAUUAUUGGUGGCUGUCCAUGGAUUCAACUUGAAAUCAAGGGAAAAAAAAAAAAAAAAAGCAACAGGGCGAUUUUGGAACUUGUAAAUCCAGUAUUUGAAGGAACAUGUUUAAGGAACAGGUGGCACCUGAUAAUGGCAAUACUGUGUAUAGUGUUGUUACAUAGGAGGUCAGCAAUCCAGACUGUAAGGUUCAAGCACAGCAUCUGUCCUGCAACCUUGGGCAUAACUCUCGUUCUGGUGACGGUAUUUGGAGUCCUGAUCUGUGGGUAUUCAGUCACUACUUGUAAAGAGCUCAGCACAACAAGGAAGAUCCUGCCUAAUGCAGAGAUGCAGCGAGAAAAAAAACAACGAUAAGCAAAACAACUUUCCUCCGGUAUUGCUACAGAGUUCUCAGCACAGGAAUAGGUAAAUACAGAACUCGCCAAGACAGACUGCAUUCAGAAAGCCGAGCUGCACAAGGGGUUAGAAGCCAGGUCAGGCGAGCCGUUGCCAGGCAAAGUUAGGACGGAAGAACAGCGACAGAGUUACACAGCAGAAGCUCCGCCCCCACUUCCGUGCACUCCGCCGCAUCCCUUUCCCGCCCAAGUCCCGCCCACCAGGCAGUCAGAGCGUCAACGCUCGCGACAGGGUCCGCGACGCAUGCGUUUUUGGUCUCGAUCGGCUUGGCGUGACGCUCGCUCCUACUCUCGGCCAAAGUCUCUGCCCUGCCCCCUCUUGUACGACCGCUACCCUGAGCCCCAGCUUCGUUCUCACCCAGAUCUGGCUCUGCCCAAACCUCGACUUCAAUCCUGUGAACAGUGACUGUAGAACAACCUCCAGCACUGCAGACCCACGUCCCGCGCUCCCGUAGUGGCGGUGGUGAUGGGCGGGGGUGGGGUGGGAUAGAAUAGGCGGGACGUGGGAAGGCAGCGGUUGCCUUGGGCCCACUUCCGG
rnacentral:lncRNA from 1 species